rnacentral:rRNA from 1 species
AAUCAACGCUGGCGGCGUGCCUCAGACAUGCAAGUCGAACGAUUAAGACUUCCUUCGGGAAGUGCAUAAAGUGGCGCACGGGUGAGUAACACGUAAGUAAUCUACCCUCGAGUGGGGAAUAACGUUCGGAAACGAACGCUAAUACCGCAUAACGCAGCGGCACCGCAAGGUGACAGUUGUUAAAGGAGCAAUCCGCUUGAGGAGGAGCUUGCGGCAGAUUAGCUAGUUGGUAAGGUAAUGGCUUACCAAGGCUACGAUCUGUAUCCGGUCUAAGAGGACGGUCGGACACACUGACACUGAAUAACGGGUCAGACUCCUACGGGAGGCAGCGGUCGGGAAUUUUGGGCAAUGGGCGAAAGCCUGACCCAGCAACGCCGCGUGAAGGAUGAAGUAUUUCGGUAUGUAAACUUCGAAAGAAUGGGAAGAAUAAAUGACGGUACCAUUUAUAAGCUCCGGCUAACUACGUGCCAGCCGCCGCAGUAAUAC